rnacentral:rRNA from 1 species
CAGACUGGGAUAACCACGGGAAACCGUGGCUAAUACCGGAUAAUCCUUUUCCACACAGGUGGGAAAGUUGAAAGGCGGUCUUUUGGCUGUCACUGAUGGAUGGGCCUGCGGCGCAUUAGCUUGUUGGUGGGGUAACGGCCCACCAAGGCGACGAUGCGUAGCCGACCUGAGAGGGUGAUCGGCCACACUGGGACUGAGACACGGCCCAGACUCCUACGGGAGGCAGCAGUAGGGAAUCUUCCG